ACCUGUAAGUCAAAGGAUAUGAAAUAAUAGUAACUAUACAUUAAGCACAGAAGAAAAUGAAACAAACAAAAAGGUUUUAAACCAACCAAAAAUAUGUCUUAUUUUGGAUGUUCUAUAUAUUCUUACAUUCUCUCAGGUCUUUUGUGUCAUUAUGAACACAAUUCUAACAAGCUUGAUUAUUUUAUUUCCAUUCACAUAUUACAGGCAACAAGCUGAAAAAGUAGAACGGGGUGUAGAGAGACAGGACAAAGUACAGAUUAGGGCUUGAAGUGCCCCUGACCAGUCGACAGCAACCACAUGGAAUAAUGACUCAUGUGCAUUAAUGAUCACACUAAAUGAUAUUUGUUUUUUACCUAGUCCUUCAACUGACAGCUUAAAGAACUUCAGGUUGUUCUGAUUCUUGAGUCUCCUCUACAACUUCAGAGAGGACUUUCAUUUUAUUUUGGAUCAAAUGCUCCACAACUAGUUGAAACUGGAAUUAAAUUUUAUAUGAAGUUCCUAGAUGAUUUAAAGCUGUAAGAAGAAUAAUAAUGAAUCAUAAGAAAACUUGCUGCUACAGAUAUCAAAAAGGAAUGUUACCAUCCCUCAUGCUAAUCCUUUUCAUUUUAAAUAAACAGGAUCUAAAAAAAAUAAUUUUUUCCCCCUUCCUGGACUUUUUAA
rnacentral:lncRNA from 1 species